GACAAGCAGCAUGUGAAGACGCUGUGAGCUGACUUGUCAAGUCCUUUGUCUACUUUGUGUACUUUGAGCAAUGGUCUUGUAUCAGCUGUCUUUGGCAAACACUUUUCAAUUUUUAUUUUUUUUUCCCUAGCAUUACUGCGGAUUGAAUCAAGGGCCUCAUGAAAGCUAGGCAUGAGCUAUACCACUGAGCUCCAGUUACAGCUCUUUUGUUUAGUGUUUUGCAUACAUGUUCGUGAAAUACACUGGCCCUUUUU